UGCAGCCUGAGAACCAGGACCAGAAACACACAGCAAACCAUCAACCAGGACCAGAAACACACAGCAAACCAUCAACCAGGACCAGGAACACACAGCAGACCAUCAACCAGGACCAGAAACACACAGCAAACCAUCAACCAGGACCAGAAACACACAGCAAACCAUCAACCAGGACCAUAAACACACAGCAAACCAUCAACCAGGAACAGAAGCACACACACAGCAAACCAUCAACCAGGACCAGAAACACACAGCAAACCAUCAACCAGGACCAUAAACACACACAGCAGACCAUCAACCAGGACCAGAAACACACAGCAGACCAUCAACCAGGAACAGAA